GACGAACGCUGGCGGCGUGCUUAACACAUGCAAGUCGAACGAUGAAGCCUAGCUUGCUAGGUGGAUUAGUGGCGAACGGGUGAGUAAUACGUGAGUAACCUACCUUUAACUCUGGGAUAAGCCUGGGAAACUGGGUCUAAUACCGGAUACGACCAAUCUCCGCAUGGGGUGUUGGUGGAAAGCGUUAUGUAGUGGUUAUAGAUGGGCUCACGGCCUAUCAGCUUGUUGGUGAGGUAACGGCUCACCAAGGCGACGACGGGUAGCCGGCCUGAGAGGGUGACCGGCCACACUGGGACUGCGACACGGCCCAGACUCCUACGGGAGGCAGCAGUGGGGAAUAUUGCACAAUGGGCGCAAGCCUGAUGCAGCGACGCCGCGUGAGGGAUGACGGCCUUCGGGUUGUAAACCUCUGUUAGCAGGGAAGAAGAGAAAUUGACGGUACCUGCAGAGAAAGCGCCGGCUAACUACGUG
rnacentral:rRNA from 1 species